UGGGGAAUCUUGCACAAUGGGGGCAACCCUGAUGCAGCGACGCCGCGUGAGCGAUGAAGCCCUUCGGGGCGUAAAGCUCUUUCGACCGGAACGAUAAUGACGGUACCGGGAGAAGAAGCUGCGGCUAACUACGUGCCAGCAGCCGCGGUAAUACGUAGGCAGCAAGCGUUGUUCGGAGUUACUGGGCGUAAAGAGUGCGUAGGCGGUUUUCUAAGUUCGGUGUGAAAUCUCCCGGCUUAACUGGGAGGGUGCGCCGAAGACUGGGAAGCUGGAGUGUGGGAAAGGCAGGCGGAAUUCCUGGUGUAGCGGUGAAAUGCGUAAAUAUCAGGAGGAACACCGGCGGUGUAGACGGCUUGCUAGACCAUAACUGACGCUGAGGGACGAAAGCGUGGGUAG
rnacentral:rRNA from 1 species